CGUUUAUACCGGACACUAUUUCUGUCUUCGUGCCUUGGCAUUAAAGCAUGGCCUGGGUUUGCCAACUUACCUUCUUGACAGAGAAAGAGCAUGGGAUCUGGAGGCUUUAUCAAGGAUGGAACAAGAUGAAGUGUUCUAUACUGCUCGAAAGGCCGGGUCUUUGAGUGCUGGUGACUUAAUUGGUCUUCAGCGCGCUAAGGCCGUCCUCUCCUGAAGGAAGAAAUGAGGGGUAAUAUAACAUCUGAACCCCUCACCAAAAAAGACAGGAAAAUACCACCUCUCCUGCUAAAUAACUAGAAAAGUUUGUAUUUUCAAAAGAAGAAAUACCUCAAUUCAAGUUAACUCAAGGACAACUAAGAUUGCACUUUAUAGUAAAGAAUGGGACCUUGUCAGGGCAACAACACA